ACGGGUGAGUAACACGUGAGUAACCUGCCCCAGACCCUGGGAUAACCCCGGGAAACCGGAGCUAAUACCGGAUAUGACACCAACCUGCAUGGGUAUGGUGUGGAAAGUUUUUCGGUCUGGGAUGGACUCGCGGCCUAUCAGCUUGUUGGUGAGGUAAUGGCUCACCAAGGCGACGACGGGUAGCCGGCCUGAGAGGGCGACCGGCCACACUGGGACUGAGACACGGCCCAGACUCCUACGGGAGGCAGCAGUGGGGAAUAUUGCACAAUGGGCGAAAGCCUGAUGCAGCGACGCCGCGUGAGGGAUGACGGCCUUCGGGUUGUAAACCUCUUUCAGCAGGGAAGAAGCGCAAGUGACGGUACCUGCAGAAGAAGCACCGGCUAACUACGUGCCAGCAGCCGCGGUAAUACGUAGGGUGCGAGCGUUGUCCGGAAUUAUUGGGCGUAAAGAGCUUGUAGGUGGUUUGUCGCGUCUGCUGUGAAAAUCCGAGGCUCAACCUCGGACUUGCAGUGGGUACGGGCAGACUAGAGUGUGGUAGGGGAGACUGGAAUUCCUGGUGUAGCGGUGGAAUGCGCAGA
rnacentral:rRNA from 1 species